rnacentral:lncRNA from 1 species
UACAUGCACACGACGACGUUGAAAGUAUAAUUCUAGAGUCGGAGCAAAAAUUCCAAUUUCAUCAACUUUGCAGUAGAAGUAACAUUGUCAAUUCAUUCACAAAAAUCUCAAUUAUCUUAUCCAGGCAGGAGACUUAACAUAAUAUUGAAAUGUCAAUUGUCAUGAUGGUCCACACGAGGAAGGCAACAAAACUAUGCUCGACAAUACAUGAAUGAUGAAGAAUGCAUUACAUUCAAAUAAGUUACCGAUAUGUCAUGGUUGGUUGCUCUCAAGAGUAAAGUCAC